UACGAAGGGGGCUAGCGUUGUUCGGAAUUACUGGGCGUAAAGCGCACGUAGGCGGAUAUUUAAGUCAGGGGUGAAAUCCCAGAGCUCAACUCUGGAACUGCCUUUGAUACUGGGUAUCUUGAGUAUGGAAGAGGUGAGUGGAAUUCCGAGUGUAGAGGUGAAAUUCGUAGAUAUUCGGAGGAACACCAGUGGCGAAGGCGGCUCACUGGCCCGGUACUGACGCUGAGGUGCGAAAGCGUGGGGAGCAAACAGG
rnacentral:rRNA from 1 species